rnacentral:rRNA from 1 species
CCCUUUUGGGCAAAAGGGGGAGAGUCCAACAUCCUUUUCUCAGCCAAGAAGCAAGUGACGGUACUUGAGGAAUCAGCAUCGGCUAACUCCGUGCCAGCAGCCGCGGUAAUACGGAGGAUGCAAGCGUUAUCCGGAAUUAUUGGGCGUAAAGCGUCCGCAGGUGGCCCGUCAAGUCUGCUGUCAAAGACUAGAGCUCAACUCUGGAAAGGCAGUGGAAACUGGUGGGCUAGAGUACGGUAGGGGUUGAGGGAAUUCCCAGUGUAGCGGUGAAAUGCGUAGAUAUUGGGAAGAACACCAGUGGCGAAGGCGCUCAACUGGGCCGUAACUGACACUCAGGGACGAAAGCUAGGGUAGCGAAUGGGAUUAGAUACCCCAGUAGUCA